GAUGAAGAACGUAGCGAAAUGCGAUAAGUAAUGUGAAUUGCAGAAUUCAGUGAAUCAUCGAAUCUUUGAACGCACCUUGCGCCCUUUGGCUAUUCCGAAGGGCAUGCCUGUUUGAGUAUCAUGAACACCUCAACUCUCAUGGUUUGCCAUGAUGAGCUUGGACUCUGGGGGUCUUGCUGGCCUAUGGUCAGCUCCUCUCAAAUAAAUCAGCUUGCCAGUGUUUGGUGGCAUCACAGGUGUGAUAACUAUCUACGCUUGUGGUUUUCCAUCAGGUAACCUUCAGUGAUGGAGGUUCGCUGGAGCUCAUAAAUGUCCCUCCUCAGCGAGGAAAGCUUUUUGAACGUUUGAUCUCAAAUCAGGUAGGACUACCCGCUGAACUUAAGCAUAUCAAUAAGCGGAGGA
rnacentral:misc_RNA from 1 species